GUCGUCUUCUGUCUCUCCCUUUGGUGCUUGGUUGACCUGUUCUCUGCUUCUCCUCCUUCUGACCGCGUGAGGACCCCUCCUCUGGACAGGAGCUCUCUUCUGGGUUCCCGCCCGCAGUACCUGCUCGCAGCCACCAACUAGGUGACUGUGUGCUGGGUGGAUGAGGCCGAGGCUAGCUCCACACGCUGCCUCUCCCCACAGGCUGAGCAUGCCGGGGUCCGCACCUACUUCUUCAGUGCCGAGAGCCCCGAGGAGCAAGAGGCCUGGAUCCAGGCCAUGGGGGAGGCUGCUCGAGUACAGAUCCCUCCAGCC
rnacentral:sRNA from 1 species